rnacentral:rRNA from 1 species
AUUGAACGCUGGCGGCAUGCUUUACACAUGCAAGUCGAACGGCAGCGCGGGCUUCGGCCUGGCGGCGAGUGGCGGACGGGUGAGUAAUGCAUCGGAACGUGCCCAGUAGUGGGGGAUAGCCCGGCGAAAGCCGGAUUAAUACCGCAUACGACCUGAGGGUGAAAGCGGGGGACCGAAAGGCCUCGCGCUAUUGGAGCAGCCGAUGUCGGAUUAGCUAGUUGGUGGGGUAAAGGCUUACCAAGGCGACGAUCCGUAGCUGGUCUGAGAGGACGACCAGCCACACUGGGACUGAGACACGGCCCAGACCCCUACGGGAGGCAGCAGUGGGGAAUUUUGGACAAUGGGGGCAACCCUGAUCCAGCCAUGCCGCGUGCGGGAAGAAGGCCUUCGGGUUGUAAACCGCUUUUGUUCGGGAAGAAAUCCUCUGGGCUAAUACCCCGGGGGGAUGACGGUACCGUAAGAAUAAGCACCGGCUAACUACGUG